ensembl:lncRNA
GGGAUCUGCGCGCGGCAACUGAUCUCGCGCUGAUGGCUACAAAGCACUCUGCUCAAGCCAUCGGCCGUUCCAUGGGGUUCAUGGUCGUCCUUAACAGGCACCUGUGGCUUACCCUAGCUGACCUGAAGGACGCUGACCGCAAGACGCUCUUAAAUGCUCCAGUCACUCCCUCCGGCCUCUUUGGUGAUGCCGUGGAGUCGGUCACAGAGCGUUUCUCCGAGAUGCAAAAGCGCGCCAAGGCGAUGAGCCACGUGAUGCUCCGUCGCUCACUCCAGUCAUCGUCUGCGAGGUCCCGUUCAUCUUCUUUCGGCCGAAACAAGCAGUGGUCAGGGCCUGGAAGGAAAGUCAGGGUCAGAGGAGGAGCCCGCGCUGCGAGAGAGCCAGCGCGCCAUCCCCGGCUACCAAGCCGUCUUCCAGACGGACCGUUAAGGAGGAAGAGAGAGCGCGCUGGAGGCCCCGCCCCCAAGUGCCAUGUUCAAAGGCAUCAUGUCCUCCAUGUUCCUACGGGCGACGAUUGCUCUGUGGGUUUAAAUGCUGUUUGUGUGAGUUACACCAUAAAAACACGUAUCCAUUCACAAAAAGAGCUUUUUCUUCCUCUUGCACCCAACACUGUGUCACUCGCCCUGUCUCAGAGCAGCGCAGAGCCACAACCCAUGAUUAUAAUGGCCUCUCGAGGGUGCGAGAGUGCCAACACCACACAAUGCCCGCCGCGAGCCUUCAUCCCGCCAGUGCUUCUUGCCUCGCGGGGACAGGGCUUGGUCCAGUCACUGACUUUGCCCAAAAACCUUCCCGUUCUGAGACAGGAUGUUCUCAGUCUGCUCGAGAAAGGAGCGAUAGAGCGCAUCCAUCCGAGCGAGCAGGAAAGCGGGUUUUACAGCUGCUACUUCGUGGUGCCAAAGAAGGAUGGUGGAUUCCGUCAGAGUCUGGACCUGAGACGUAUCACAAAGUUUGUGUACGCAUCUGGACGCACGAAUGCGCAUCUUGAAUUAUCUGGACGAUUGGCUGAUUUUAGCCCACUCAAGAGAUGUGCUAAUCAGUCAUGUGGAAACACUGCUUCGCCAUUUGGAUACGCUGGGACUGCGUGUGAAUAUGCAGAAGAGCGUG